ACUCUCAACCACUGCACCACCAGGGAAGCCCAGAAAGUAUUUUUAAUUAAGACACGAAAAGCUAUUUAUCACGGAUAUGCAGCUUGCUGAAAAACAAGCUGCAUUUAUCUACCACCUAGAUUAAGGAAUGAAACAUGACGAAUGUCUUUGGAGCCCUCACUGCCUUUCUCCAAGUAUAUCCUCUCCUGCCUUCUUCCCUUCAAGAGAGUCUGUGAUUUUGAAUAUUGUACUUAUUCGUCCCUUGAUUUUCAUUAUUGCUGUUGUUACACAUAUAUCCCUCGACAAUAUGUUGCUGAGCCUUGUGUUUGGGGAAUUUUAUAUAAAUGAUAUUAAGCUGUUUGUGUUCUUCCACUUCUCUCCACUCCCACAACUUGAUGCUUUGUGAUUUAUCCACGUUGAUAUAGGAAACUUUAGUUCCUUAUUUUCACUAUUGCAUGAAUAUAUCAUAAUUUGUCCUUUUUUCUGUCAUUGGGUAAUUUUUUGUCAUUGUUGUUUGUUUUUUUGCCAUUAGAAAUAAUACCACUGCGAGCAUUAUUGUACGUUCUGUCUUUGGUAGUUUUAAAAUUCUUUCAAUACAAAGGAGAAAAGCAUUAGACAUUGUGUAACAUGCUAAGUAUUUUAGUCACACUCUCCUACCUGUCCACAUUUACAUACGUAUAUCUUUAAUUCAUUUAUAUGCUGACAGGAUAAUUUCACAGUUGAAUGUUCUGAGCUAAAAUUCAUUUUCUAUUGUUUAAGUGAAGCUUAUGAAACUUUGGAGUUAUUUUUCUCCAAUUUCAGUUAUAUCUUGAAACAGUGAAUAAAUCACUGACAUGAGUCAAGA